rnacentral:rRNA from 1 species
AUGGAGCGCAUUGGCGAGGCCCACCAGGUGCACCAGCUGCAGCAGGUCCAGCAGCAGGGGGUGGCGGCGGCGCCGUCGUUCGGCGUGGUCGAGCACUCUGUUGUGGCGGCGGCGGCGGCGGCGGCGACCAAGCCGAGGGCGCCGGGGCUGCCGCCGACGCCGCCCGCGUCCUUCGCCGGGCAGCAGCGCGGUGCGGGCGGCGACGUGUGCAUGGACGACUCCUCGGGGGCGGCGGGGCGCAAGCAGGUCGUGCCGGCGCACCGCCGGUCUCGCAGCGAGGUGCCGUUCGCGGGCUACUUCCCGCCGCCGACGCAACAGCUGCCGCAGCCCAAGGCGGAGGCCGGCGGCUGGGGCGACGGCACCGGCGGCGACGACCUGUUCAGCUCGUACCUGAACCUGGAGGGGAUGGACGUGCUCAACUCCUCGUCGCCCGACAGCAGCGCCAAGGCCGACAGCAGCGAGAACGGCGACUCGGAGGAGUGCGCCGCCUGGGGCGCUGGCGCGGGCGUCAAGAGGAGCGCCGCCGGGGAGCCGGCCAUGGCCGGGCGGCACGCCCGGAGCCUGUCCGUGGACAGCCUCAUGGGGAGGCUCAACUUCGCUUCCCCCGGCGGCGGCGCCAACGGCGCGGGCGGCAUGUUCAGCCUGGAGUUCGGCAGCGGCGAGUUCUCCCCCGCCGAGAUGAAGAAGAUCAUGGCCGACGAGAAGCUGACCGAGAUGGCCCUCGCCGACCCCAAGCGCGUCAAGAGGGUGCUGGCGAACCGGCAGUCGGCGGCGCGGUCCAAGGAGCGCAAGAUGCGGUACAUCGUGGAGCUGGAGCAGAAGGUGCAGAUCCUGCAGACGGAGGCCACCACGCUCGCCGCGCAGAUCAACCUCCUGCAGCGCGACUCGUCGGCGGUGGCGACGCAGAACAACGAGCUGAGGUUCCGGCUGCAGGCCAUGGAGCAGCAGGCGCAGCUCCGCGAUGCUCUGAACGAGGCGCUGACAGGCGAGGUCCAGCGCCUCAAGAUCGCGGCGUUGGAGCUCGGCAUCGGCGACUCCUGCUCCUCCAACGGCAUGGCCCAGCAGCACAGCCUCAUGUUCCAGCACCAGCAGCAGCAGCAGCAGGAGGCUACACCCAUACCAUUCUACCAACUGCAGCACCAACAACAGCAACAGCUGCAGCAGCAGAACGGCACAGCCAACAAGCAUGAAUCAAGGGAGUGA